ACAUUACUAGUUUAGAUUAUUAAUUGUAACCUAAUUUAAAAGCCAAAACAGAGAAUGUUUGUUUUUGCUUUGAAGUAUUUCGUAAAUUCUCCCCUUUAUCCAUUUUACAGUGAUUCUGUGCUACCAGGUUAUAUGAUUAUCCUCAUACUGCUUGACUUAUGCUUCAAAUCCAAGAUUAAUUGGGUUAAUAGUGGAUCAGGGUCGAAGUGCUCACACGUGAUGACUUGUUUAUUUAUCAUUUCCAUGUUUAUAGCCUGAAUUGGAUUUCUUUGGUCGAGUCAUUGUACCAAAGGAGAAGCCUGUGGUCACCACUACAAGUGAAGAUGGCAAAGGAGCUGGAGUGGUGCAUAUUGGUAAAGCCAUGGGUAACAGUGACAUACAUAUGGUUUAGUUUCAAUGAAGGUGUGUCAAAUGCAGUGAGCAGAAAUGUUUACAUUCGGGAGUUACUUUAAAGUGAUAUGUUCAAGAAAGUGGAUGAAGCCCAUGUUCAUUUACCACCUUAAAUCGAUACAUGAAGAACCCAAAAUGUUCUGAACCUUGUACUAUAAAGUUAAAAAACAAACCUACAAAUCUACAAUAUGUGAAAAAGAAAAAGCACUGGUUCCUC